rnacentral:rRNA from 1 species
UACGUAGGGUGCGAGCGUUAAUCGGAAUUACUGGGCGUAAAGCGUGCGCAGGCGGUUUUGUAAGCCAGAUGUGAAAUCCCCGGGCUUAACCUGGGAAUGGCAUUUGGGACUGCAAGGCUUGAGUUCGGUAGGGGAGACUGGAAUUCCUGGUGUAGCGGUGAAAUGCGCAGAUAUCAGGAGGAACACCGGUGGCGAAGGCGGGUCACUGGUCCAUUACUGACGCUGAGGUGCGAAAGCGUGGGGAGCAAACAGG